AUGUAGCUCAGGGGUAGAGCUUCUGUUUGUAGGCAGAAGGUCCCAGGUUCAAUCCCUGCCAGGUAGG